rnacentral:sRNA from 1 species
UGUGCGUAUGUCUCCAAUCGAUUUUGAACUCU